rfam:Myotis lucifugus cont2.17441, whole genome shotgun sequence.
GGUGGUUCUCAGGUGACACACCCUGGAAUCGGGCUCCCUCCUCUCUGGUUCCGGGUGCGUCACCCAAGAACCCCA